GGUCUCUUUGUGCACCCGCCCACACGGUUUGCCGUGUUUUCACCCUUCUUUGUUCUCCACCGGUCUGGGCAGGGUCUGAGGACUCCGGAGAGCAAGGCAUGGGUCCGCCUCGUGCCGCAGGUUCCUGGCCCACGCCAGCCGUACCCAGUAGCACAAUGGGCUUUGCUGCUACGCACUGACAAGUUGGACGGCUUUUUAUUGCUUUGUUGCCAGUUAUCUGAACAUGAGAGGCUGUAAGGUGUAAUCUGCGAGCCCUGCGCCCAGACUGAACCAGGGCCUCCCUUGAACAUGAGUAUUAGACAAAUGAAAUAAGAACUUAUCUUGCCCAGACUAUAUAAUGGCUUGGAAAUGCAUAGUUUCCUGAACGAUCUCAAUAAAAUACUUUUAAAAGUACUUAAAUAGAC
rnacentral:lncRNA from 1 species